rnacentral:rRNA from 1 species
UACGGAGGGUGCGAACGUUAAUCGGAAUCACUGGGCGUAAAGCGCGCGUAGGCGGUUCGUUAAGUGGGAUGUGAAAUCCCCGGGCUUAACCUGGGAAUUGCAUUUCAAACUGGCGAACUAGAGUGCGGUAGAGGGAGGUAGAAUUUCCUGUGUAGCGGUGAAAUGCGUAGAUAUAGGAAGGAAUACCAGUGGCGAAGGCGGCCUCCUGGAUCGACACUGACGCUGAGGCGCGAAGGCGUGGGGAGCAAACAGG